rnacentral:piRNA from 1 species
ACUGGAACCUUCAGGGAGCUGAGCA